rnacentral:rRNA from 1 species
AGGACGAACGCUGGCGGCGUGCUUAACACAUGCAAGUCGAGCGGUAAGGCCUUUCGGGGUACACGAGCGGCGAACGGGUGAGUAACACGUGGGUGAUCUGCCCUGCACUCUGGGAUAAGCCUGGGAAACUGGGUCUAAUACCGGACAUGACCUGCUCUCGCAUGGGGGUGGGUGGAAAGAUUUAUCGGUGCAGGAUGGGCCCGCGGCCUAUCAGCUUGUUGGUGGGGUAAUGGCCUACCAAGGCGACGACGGGUAGCCGACCUGAGAGGGUGACCGGCCACACUGGGACUGAGACACGGCCCAGACUCCUACGGGAGGCAGCAGUGGGAAUAUUGCACAAUGGGCGAAAGCCUGAUGCAGCGACGCCGCGUGAGGAUGAAGGCCUUCGGGUUGUAAACCUCUUUCAGCAGGACGAAGCGCAAGUGACGGUACCUGCAGAAGAAGCACCGGCUAACUACGUGCCAGCAGCCGC